rnacentral:tRNA from 1 species
GCCGUUUUAGCACAGUGGUAGUGCACUUUCUUGGUAAGGAAGAGGUCGCAGGUUCAAUUCCCGUAAACGGCACCA